GACGAACGCUGGCGGCGUGGAUUAGGCAUGCAAGUCGAACGGCAGCACGGGAGCAAUCCUGGUGGCGAGUGGCGAACGGGUGAGUAAUGCAUCGGAACGUGCCAUUGAGUGGGGGAUAACGUAGCGAAAGUUACGCUAAUACCGCAUAUUCUGUGCGCAGGAAAGCAGGGGAUCGCAAGACCUUGCGCUCUUUGAGCGGCCGAUGUCAGAUUAGCUAGUUGGUGGGGUAAAGGCUCACCAAGGCGACGAUCUGUAGCGGGUCUGAGAGGAUGAUCCGCCACACUGGGACUGAGACACGGCCCAGACUCCUACGGGAGGCAGCAGUGGGGAAUUUUGGACAAUGGGGGCAACCCUGAUCCAGCCAUGCCGCGUGAGUGAAGAAGGCCUCGGUUGUAAAGCUCUUCGGUCCGGGAAGGAAAUACGCACAGGUUAAUAACCCUCGUGUGGAGUGACGGUACCGGACGUAAGAAGCACCGGCUAACUAACGUGC
rnacentral:rRNA from 1 species